rnacentral:rRNA from 1 species
AGUGAACGCUGGCGGUAGGCCUAACACAUGCAAGUCGAACGGCAGCACAGUAAGAGCUUGCUCUUACGGGUGGCGAGUGGCGGACGGGUGAGGAAUACAUCGGAAUCUACUUUUUCGUGGGGGAUAACGUAGGGAAACUUACGCUAAUACCUCAUACGACCUACGGGUGAAAGCAGGGGAUCUUCGGACCUUGCGCGAUUGAAUGAGCCGAUGUCGGAUUAGCUGGUUGGCGGGGUAAAGGCCCACCAAGGCGACGAUCCGUAGCUGGUCUGAGAGGAUGAUCGGCCACACUGGAACUGAGACACGGUCCAGACUCCUACGGGAGGCAGCAGUGGGGAAUAUUGGACAAUGGGCGCAAGCCUGAUCCAGCCAUACCGCGUGGGUGAAGAAGGCCUUCGGGUUUUAAAGCCCUUUUGUUGGGAAAGAAAAGCAGCAGGUUAAUACCCCGCUGUUCUGACGGUACCCAAAGAAUAAGCACCGGCUAACUUCGUG